rnacentral:rRNA from 1 species
GACGAACGCUGGCGGCGUGCUUAACACAUGCAAGUCGAACGGAAAGGCCCUGCUUUUGUGGGGUGCUCGAGUGGCGAACGGGUGAGUAACACGUGAGUAACCUGCCCUUGACUUUGGGAUAACUUCAGGAAACUGGGGCUAAUACCGGAUAGGAGCUCCUGCUGCAUGGUGGGGGUUGGAAAGUUUCGGCGGUUGGGGAUGGACUCGCGGCUUAUCAGCCUGUUGGUGGGGUAGUGGCUUACCAAGGCUUUGACGGGUAGCCGGCCUGAGAGGGUGACCGGCCACAUUGGGACUGAGAUACGGCCCAGACUCCUACGGGAGGCAGCAGUGGGGAAUAUUGCACAAUGGGCGGAAGCCUGAUGCAGCAACGCCGCGUGCGGGAUGACGGCCUUCGGGUUGUAGACCGCUUUCGCCUGUGACGAAGCGUGAGUGACGGUAAUGGGUAAAGAAGCACCGGCUAACUACGUG